rnacentral:rRNA from 1 species
GAUGAACGCUGGCGGCGUGCCUAAUACAUGCAAGUCGAGCGAACGGACGAGAAGCUUGCUUCUCUGAUGUUAGCGGCGGACGGGUGAGUAACACGUGGAUAACCUACCUAUAAGACUGGGAUAACUUCGGGAAACCGGAGCUAAUACCGGAUGAUAUUUUGAACCGCAUGGUUCAAAAGUGAAAGACGGUCUUGCUGUCACUUAUAGAUGGAUCCGCGCUGCAUUAGCUAGUUGGUAAGGUAACGGCUUACCAAGGCAACGAUGCAUAGCCGACCUGAUAGAGGGAUAGGCGACACUGGAGCUGAGACGCGGUCCAGAGUCCUACGGGACGCAGCAGUAUGCAAUCGUCCGCAGUGGUCGGAAGCCUGACGGAGCAACGCCGCGUGAGAGAUGAAGGUGUUCGGAUCGUAAAACUCUGUUAUUAGUGAAGAACAUAUUUGGAAGUAACUGUGCACAGCUUGACGGUACCGAAUCAGAAAGCCACGGCUAACUACGUG